rnacentral:lncRNA from 1 species
GAAUUUGCCAUGCAUGACAGAACCAGUAACUUUUAUUUUGAUUGAAAUUGAUGAAAUGUAAGCAUCAAUAAGCAGCCAACUUACAGCUAACUUAUAUCCCAUCCGCAGUUGCUCGUAUAAACAAAACUGGAUUGCAUCAAACGGUAAGUCCCGCAGUAGAAAAGAGCCAUAACCCUGCACUCAAGCAAGAACACAAUGGAGCACUCAAAAGGUUGGACAAAGAAACCCAUCAUUCAACUAGUGAAUUUCUCUAUCAAAUUUCACAUAUUUUUCCUUUUUCUUUUUCUAAAUUUUGUCUGAAAUGUCCAGAUUGUAAAUAAACAGGAGUGUUUUAAACGGAUGUCAGUUUCUGACAAAUUCACCAAAAAGACACCUACUUACAGCAUAAAGGCCUCUAAACCCUUCCGUAGCAACAAUAAGCCGGACUGCAUCAGGGGCAGAAGCAAAUUGGCCAGUCUGCAUCCUUUGCUUAACCACCUGUAAGUUAUUCAUAUCUUAAAUCUCUGAAGCAACAUCAAAACCUAGGAUGUGCGAAUUAAGUUUUCAAUUACCUCAGUGGGUACACGGACAAUAGAAGAAACAGCUCCGCCUAUAGCACCUGCA